ensembl:lncRNA
GGGGGAAGGAAGGCGGGGGGGGGGGGGGAGGGAAAUGUCACCCGGCGGGCGCGGUGCUGAGGGACGGAGCGAGGGGACGGAGGGACAGGGAGCGCCGCCGGCUGUCAAGCAGAGCAGUUGCCAAGUGAUCUUCUCCACAGCACCCACGAACUUUGGCCUUACACUGAAGAGGACUCGUCAAAUGCUUUGGGAGAUACAACACGGAAUUGGAAGAGAAGCAUGGAUCUACCUGAAGGGCAGUUCGCUGCAUUCUUGAAACUGACUGUCAUUUGGACUGCAGCUAUGUGUCCCUGACCUCUCCUCCAGUCUGCACUCUCGGAGCAGUGCAUUGUAUUCCAGUUAACUUCCUUAUUGGAGAAAGAUGUGGAGCUAGGCAGAGGGGCAGAAAGCAGUAUUAGGAUCUGGCUGCAUAAGUUACCACGUUGCAUUGCAUCUUUGAUAAUGCCAUAUUUCCCUAGCUUUAUGGUCUUGGGCUCCUAGAGAACUGACUGUCCCAAAAAGUAUAGUCUGCUCAUUCUCAGUCAGUAAGAAAUGGGUACAUUAUACUUGCCAGAGGUACUGGUUCACUCAGGUAGGCUCAGGUGCUGGUUCACACUUGCAGGCUAAUGUGACUGGUAGGUCUGAUAUUUUUAAAUUUUCUGUGUAACAGUAGAUGGGAGAAGCAUUCAAGGCCAGACUGGAUGGGGCUUUGAGCAACCUGGUCUAGAGGGAGGUGUCCCUGCCUAGAGCAAGGGGUUGGAACUAGGUGACCUUAAAGGUCCCUUCCAACACAAACCAUUCUAUGAUUCAAUAAUUCUAUAUCUUAAGACACUUUUUGAACAGAACUUACAGCUGGAGCACCGAUCUUGAGAAAGAGGAGUUGAAUUUGUCAUUAUAAGUCAUGUAUAUAAACCAAAAGUUUUAAAGGGAAUAAAAGGCGAAGAAACACUUCAAAUUCAGUAACUUCUAAGACAACUGCCUUGAAAUUUGUUGUAAUGUCUGAAAUGUGGAUUUCAAAUUUUUGCUUGUCCUCCUGCCCAGUUGAAAGCUUUAAGCCUGGCAAGGAACAAAAAACUGUGGUGCUCUUCUCCAUUUUCUGUUUGUUUACAAGUCUGUUGUUUGACAAAAUCACAGCCAGUAAGAGAACAACUUGUUGCUCAAAAAUAAAACCAAAAGUAGAGAAUUAAAAAAGACUGCAUUCCAUCCUUAUGGAACUCCUGAUUCUUCUGUUAGAUUGUCAGAUCCUUUAAUUUGUUCGUAGCUUUUGCUUGUUUGUUUUAAAUAUUGUUGUUUCUUUAAUGGUAUCUAAAUUAAAGGAAUAAAGAAAUGUCUUCUGCAUGUUUCUAGGAUCUAGUUCUUAUAUCCUUUAUCAUCAGUGCUCUUGCACAGUGUCACCAGUUAAAUAUUAUUUCAUGGAACCCAUGGUUAAUGUGUUUGUAAAUGUUUUAUGAUAUAGAAAAGCGUUGUAACUGAAAAUAAAAUGCCUUUUAAAGAUCAACAUAGAUGUAUUUUUAAUAAGAACAGUGAGGUCAAAUCAUAAAUGUUAAGUUUUGUGUGAAUGGCAAAGAGGUGGUAUAUAUUUGUUUAACAUUACAUUUGUACUUCCUGCAUUCUAAAUAGUUUUCUGGAGGAGCUUAAAUUUAGGAAAUGAUUGCAGUUGAUUUUUGUAAGGAUUUUUUGUUUAAAAAAGAUCACUUUUAGUCUAAAAUUGACUACUGUUUAUCAUGUGUUUUCAAAUACUUUAGUCUUCGAUGCUGCUGUAUGUGGCCAGAUGCUUUCAUAGAAUCACAGAAUGGCCUGGGUUGAAAAGGACCACAAUGGUCAUCUAGUUUCAACCCCCCUGCUAUGUGCAGGGUCACCAACCACCAGACCAGGCUGCCCCGAGCCACAUCCAGCCUGGCCUUGAAUGCCUCCAGGGAUGGGGCAUCCACAACCUCCUUGGGCAGCCUGUUCCAGUGCGUCACCACCCUCUGUGCGAAAAACUUUCUCCUAAUAUCUAACCUAAACCUCCCCUGUCUCAGUUUAAAACCAUUCCCCCUUGUCCUAGAACUAUCCACCCUUGUAAACAGCCAUUCCUCCUCCUGUUUAUAUGCUCCCAUCAGGUAUUGGAAGGCCACAGUGAGGUCUCCCCGGAGCCUUCUCCAAGCUAAACAAUCCCAGUUCCCUCAACCUUUUCUCAUAGGAGAGGUGCUCCAGCCCUCUGAUCAUCUUAGUGGCCCUCCUCUGGACCUGCUCCAAGAGCUCCAUGUCCCUCCUGUGCUCGGGGAUCGUGAUCAUAAAGACCUCAGAAAUUCACUGACCUAUGCUGUCUCUCCAAACUUUAUGCUGAUUUGAAGCAGACUUAAACACUAAGAAGCAACUAUGAUAAUGGCUUUUUAUAAAGUAAUAAUUAAAAAUACAUCUAAAUUUCUACUUCAAAUGCAUAUUGGUAAAAGUUCCCAUAACGUGCUGCUGUUACAUGUAAGGCCUGUAAGCAAUUUGAAGUCAACAUUCUGUAAAAAAAGGAACUAAGAAUUCCUAUAAAUAACGUGCAACUUAAAGAUGUAUGGAACUCCUUUAUUAUGUGCUAAACGCUGUAAUAAAAUGGGCUAUCAGAGGGUUUUGCUGCAUGUUACUAAUUUUAAUUUCUUUUUUUUUAUCCCAAUAUUUUUGCAGGUGUGUGGAGGAACGGGUCCCGUGCUCACUGUUGUUACUCCCACAUAGGCGGACUCUGUAACUGAUUAUAUGUGGGUAGGGCCCUAUUGAAAUUAAGGAGAUUCUGCAGUAGUGCGGGGUUCUGUUUGUGUGACCCUACUGUGCCUUCUUACUGUGAAUUCUGUCAGUGUAUCAUGGGUUGUGCUGGAACCUGCCUUUUGGGAUAAUGUAAGUUCUGCCUUUCCCCCAAAUGUACUUUAGACGUGAAAUAAUCAUUAAAAAAAAAGUUUUGAAUUAGAAAAUAAAUAUAAUUUACAUGCGUUCUUUUAAUUAUGUUUUUUUGGCAGUACCAAAUAAUAUAUUCCUCAAAACUUCUUAAUGGCACUGAGGCUUUGUGGAUAGUUGGUCACAUGAUGAGAAAAUUCAGCUGUAAGUACACUGAAAUGAUUGAAUUUUUCAAUAGUUAGUCUUUGCUGAUGUUGACAGACUAAUAAUGAUAAAAGGGUUAAUCAAGAGGUGUGAUUUAUGUGUGACUCCGGUUCUUUUUAGAAAAUCCAUACAAUAUAUCCAUUAAGGAUAUCAUUAUUCUUGGAUAAUUCACCACGUGAACCCGGAGUCCUUCAGCACUGCUGUUAGGUAGGGAGUUUUCAUUUGUUUAUUUCCUUUGCUUUCAGAAGAGUGUGUUUCUGAGCUGCUCUCUAUCUUCACCCAUAAAAUUUUCCAAAUUUAUAGAUCUAUAAAAACCGUUUAUGCCUCCAAUAUUUGUGUAGCUACUGCAAGCAGAUUUACUAACAUAAUUGUCUUGCUGAGUUGAACGUUGAAAUGUUAAUAAAUAUAUACUUAUGCUCAUGUCAAAGUAACUUGGUUAAAUUAAACUAAACUGAUCUGACGUUAUGAGUGGCAAUUUGAUCACACAUGCUGAUUAAUUAUAGGCUUCUUAGGCAAGAACUGUAUAUUUUAUUUUAACUAAGUACCCUGUGCUUAAUCGGUAAUAAUUAUCCAUACCCUUUGUCAGUGGAUUCACCCAAAAUAACUAUAAAUAUACUUGUAUUGAAGAGGAAGUUUUUUGCUUGUAUCUAUGGGUACAGGCAUUGCUAUGAUUCCUAUUUUUAUAUCCAAGAGAGCAAAAAUUAUGUGUAGGUGUUUUACCUGUGUAACGCUAAUGGCUUUAUAAACUCCAUGCCCUUUUUUUUAUGAUGGUGUAUUUCCUUUCUGGUGUUCAAGUACAAAAAUGUUCUGAAGGCAAUCUUGUAUCUGGAAGAUGGAAGAACUAGAAUUGGUAUUGAAUCUGUGAGUAAUUAUUAAGGAAGUGUGAAGCUGUAGAGGAUUUGUAGGCAUGGCCAAUUAGAUAUUCCUUCAUGUAGAGCAAAGAUGCAGACAGUGAUUGGGGAGUAAAGAAAAAGAGAUUGUAGAAUUAUUUUUUUGCUUGGCACAAAAGUAACAUUAAAUGAAUUUGAAGAAAGAGCAAGACCAAAGAAGAGAUCAUAACCAGAUCAAAAGCAGACUUGAGAGUCCAAUUAACAAACAAAUGAACAAACAAACAAAAUAAAACUCAAAAAGAAACAAGGAACUAAACAGAAGAAUAUAUGGCAAAAAUAUGCCCAGAAGGAGAACUGAAUGUGUAGCUACUGGUACCUUUCAUUUCAUCAAAUAUCUGGUUGAUUUACCUAUCUAUUUAAUUUAAAACUUCCAGGAAAUGUCUUUCUCUACAGUUCUCUGCAGUUUUUUUGGAGGGGUCGUGUGGGCUUUGGAGAGUUAGUGACUGUGAAUUACCUGUAUAAACAGAGUAUUUGAGAUGACAACUGCAACUAAGAACAGAGGUCGAUGGUCUACAUAUGCUAAAAUGUGGCUAGUGCUAAGCAGAAGAAAGAGUUUCUUGUUCAAACUCAUAACUUAACUAUUUUAAAUUUGAACAUCUCAAAGAGAGCUCAAAACCCAAUGGGAUUAUUUUGGUUACGGGAUGUUACGGUGCUUCUUUUAUAAUUUCUGAACACAAAAAUGAAAUGGAGUUAUUUUUUAAUAUGAGAUGAAACCAUAGUUUGAGAACAUUGAAUGUUUCUCCUGAAUAAUGAGAACACUGAAUAUUUCACUUUGCAUCUAAAAUCUUGAAUGAUAUUUUUUUUGUUUGUUUGUUUAAAAAGCACAGUUCUAAUAGUUGACUGUUUUCAUCUUUUAGUUCUAUAUGCCAUAUUUAUUCUUACUUCCCCUAAGUUGUGCAAAGGAAAGAAAAGGAGAGAGAGAUCAGGUGAUUGCACAGCAACCAAACCCAGCCUCCUAUGUUCCCUCUCCACACCAGAUUGAAAAAAAAAAGUGCCUCAGAAAAGAUCUGGUUUCAGAAGAGAUAAAGAAGCAAGGUGAUAUAUUAGUGGGGUAUGAGGAGGCCCCUGGAUGUUUCAUAUGUCUCCAAGUUUUUCAGUCAUCUCUACGGAGGGCAGCUCAUACACAUCUGACUGCAUCUCCUUCCUGAGAGAGCAACUUCCCUGUGCUUUGAGAGAAAGAAUGUAGGGGCACAGCUCUAUUCUGCCUGAGCACUGUCCUAACUCCCCAUCUGGAUGACUGCUGACCAUUCCCUCUGAUGCUGACAUCAGUAUUUUCUGUGAGAGAGAGUACUGUAGUGAAGAGACAGAAAAAGAAGAAGAUGGCACUAUUGUGAUUUUGUUGUUGUAUGGCUUUGAAUCACCUACAAGUAUUGCUGCGACCGCAAAUUAAGUGUGCUGGUUUCCCAAUGAACUUGUAAUUUCAAGAUGUUUGUAGAAAUGUAAAAUCAAACGUGAACCGCAUUAAAGUCAUUUAAAUUUAACAAAAUAUAGCACUAGUCUUCUUUUAUUUUUAAUAUGGAGACCUACGUGGCUCACUUGCAGAAAGUGGGUUAUAUUUUAAAAGCUGUGGACUGGCAAGUUCUGACUUACUAAAGCAUAAAAUCAUUGUCCUCCUCCCUGUGGCAGUAGUUUCUUUAUUCAGACCCACUGCUUAAAGAUCUCUCCUGUUGUUUCCUUCUCUAUCUUCUCCUUUUUUACUUCCUUUUACUAGCUUGAGUUUCCUGUUCCUUUUUGCACCGAACUUUCCUAAGUCUCUUGGUCCAAAACCAGUCCCUUUUUCUCUCACGUAUACGUCCAUCAGCCUAAACUACUGCCUUAAGCAUGAUCACGUAUAUCUCUAAACAACGAGCAGAUGUGCUGUUUCAGGACUUCCAGUAGAUAAGAAACUUAACAACGCAGUGACAGCAUUUCGAG